rnacentral:tRNA from 1 species
AGUAAUGAAGUAAAAAAUUACAGUUAGUUUCGACCUAAUUAUAGGGUAUGACCCCUUACUUAUUA